rnacentral:rRNA from 1 species
UGGUUACAAUAGCAGAGAGGAUACACCUGUUCCCAUUCCGAACACAGAAGUUAAGCUCUCUAGCGCUGAUGGUACUUGGUGGGAAACUGCCUGGGAG